rnacentral:rRNA from 1 species
UACGAAGGGGGCUAGCGUUGCUCGGAAUCACUGGGCGUAAAGGGCGCGUAGGCGGACAUUUAAGUCAGGGGUGAAAGCCCGGGGCUCAACCCUGGAAUGGCCUUUGAUACUGGGUGUCUCGAGUCUGGUAGAGGUUGGUGGAACUGCGAGUGUAGAGGUGAAAUUCGUAGAUAUUCGCAAGAACACCGGUGGCGAAGGCGGCUCACUGGCCCGGUACUGACGCUGAGGCACGAAAGCGUGGGGAGCAAACAGG